rnacentral:rRNA from 1 species
GAUAAGCGAGGAACCUCACCAAGACUUGACAUCUAGCUGCAAGUUUCUAGAAAUAGAGACCUUCUUCGAGAGUGCUAGACAGGUGCUGCAUGGUUGUCGUCAGCUCGUGGCGUGAGCUGUACGGUUAAGUCCGGUAACGAGCGCAACCCAUGUCCUAUGUUAUAUAUGUCAUAGGAGACUGCCCUCGCAAGAGGGAGGAAGGUGUGGAUGACGUCAAAUCAGCAUGGCUCUUACGUCUUGGGCUACACACGUGCUACAAUGGCCGGUACAACGCGUCGCCAACCCGCGAGGGGGAGCUAAUCGCAUCAAAACCGGUCUCAGUUCGGAUUGGAGUCUGCAAUUCGACUCCAUGAAGUCGGAAUCGCUAGUAACCGCGUAUCAGCCACGGCGCGGUGAAUACGUUCUCGGGUCUUGUACACACCGCCCGUCAAGUCAGGGAAGUCGGAAGCACCCGAAUGUCUACGGUUGUAGGCAGAAGGUGAAGCCGAUAA